rnacentral:rRNA from 1 species
UACGUAGGGGGCAAGCGUUAUCCGGAAUUACUGGGUGUAAAGGGAGCGUAGACGGCUGUGCAAGUCUGGAGUGAAAGGCGGGGGCCCAACCCCCGGACUGCUCUGGAAACUGUAUGGCUGGAGUGCAGGAGAGGUAAGCGGAAUUCCUAGUGUAGCGGUGAAAUGCGUAGAUAUCAGGAGGAACACCGGUGGCGAAGGCGGUUUACUGGACCACAACUGACGCUGAGACACGAAAGCGUGGGGAGCAAACAGG